GUCCAAGCUGUAAACGAUGAAUGUUAAAUUUAUGAAAAUAAAGUUUUUGUUUUAAAGCUAACGCGUUAAACAUUCCGCCUGGGGAGUACGGUCGCAAGAUUAAAACUCAAAGGACUUGACGGGAAUUCGGACCAGUGGUGGAGUAUGUGGUUUAAUUCGAUGAUACGCGAAAAAUCUUACCAAUCUUUGUAUAUAAAUUGUUUUAAAACUUUAAUAAAAGCUUUGCUUAAAGUAUCAAAUUUAUACAGGUGUUGCAUGGCUGUCGU
rnacentral:rRNA from 1 species